AUUGAACGCUGGCGGCAUGCCUUACACAUGCAAGUCGAACGGCAGCAUGGAAGAGCUUGCUCUUCUGAUGGCGAGUGGCGAACGGGUGAGUAAAGCAUCGGAACGUACCGUGUAGUGGGGAUAACGUAGCGAAAGUUACGCUAAUACCGCAUAAGCCCUAAGGGGGAAAGCAGGGGACCGUAAGGCCUUGCGCGAUUAGAGCGGCCGAUACCUGAUUAGCUAGUUGGUGAGGUAAAGGCUCACCAAGGCAACGAUCAGUAGCUGGUCUGAGAGGACGAUCAGCCACACUGGGACUGAGACACGGCCCAGACUCCUACGGGAGGCAGCAGUGGGGAAUUUUGGACAAUGGACGCAAGUCUGAUCCAGCCAUUCCGCGUGCAGGAUGAAGGCCCUCGGGUUGUAAACUGCUUUUGUACGGAACGAAAAGGUUUGUCUUAAUACGAUGAGCUCAUGACGGUACCGUAAGAAUAAGCACCGGCUAACUACGUG
rnacentral:rRNA from 1 species